rnacentral:ncRNA from 1 species
UCGACAUCCGGUGCGCCGGGUGCUCAACUGCAUACGUCCCGUGUGGGGGGAAGCCGGUAGAGGCCGGCGCUGACCCGCAACCGUGAGCGAGGGGUCCUCUCGCGAGCCGGAAUGCCCCGCCCGGGACGAGCGGCUUCC